GACGAACGCUGGCGGCGUGCCUAAUACAUGCAAGUAGAACGCUGAAGGAGGAGCUUGCUUCUCUGGAUGAGUUGCGAACGGGUGAGUAACGCGUAGGUAACCUGCCUGGUAGCGGGGGAUAACUAUUGGAAACGAUAGCUAAUACCGCAUAAUAGUAGAUGUUGCAUGACAUUUGCUUAAAAGGUGCAAUUGCAUCACUACCAGAUGGACCUGCGUUGUAUUAGCUAGUUGGUGAGGUAACGGCUCACCAAGGCAACGAUACAUAGCCGACCGGAGAGGGGGAGCGGCCAGACUGGGACGGAGACACGGCCCAGACUGCUACGGGAGGGAGCAGUAGUGAAUCGUCGGCAAGGGACGGAAGUCUGACCGAGCAACGCCGAGGGAGUGAAGAAGGUCUUCGGAUCGUAAAGCUCGGUUGUAAGGGAAGAAAGAGUGUGAGAGUGGAAAGUUCACACUGUGACGGUAACGGACCAGAAAGGGACGGCUAACUACGUG
rnacentral:rRNA from 1 species